AAAAACAAGACCAGGAGCUGACUGUGGCUCAGAUCAUGAACUCCUUAUUGCCAAAUUCAGACUUAAAUUGAAGAAAGUGGGAAAAACCAUUAAGCCAUCCAGGCAUGGCCUAAAUCAAAUCCCUUAUGAUUAUACAGUGGACGUGACAAAUAAGUUCAAGGU